CAGAAUGUAUCGUAAAAUGCUACAAAGUACGAUACUUAAGCAAAAUAAAACAUGAAAUAAAGUAAAACAAUCACAGAAUAAUGUUACGAUUUUCGGUACAAGCUAUACUGAGCUGAUUAUUAUAAGGGAAAGUGUUGUCUGUCGUAUUCACUUGGAUACGGUUGAACCAUGUAAACAAUACUCUUUGUGUGUAAAAUUUGGGAUAUUUUCUGUGUUUGAAGAGUUCUCGCUGUGCGCUGGUCGGCCAUCUUGAAAAAUAAAUUGUGAAGGUCGUAUUUCCAGCUUUCCUGCGAGACGGCAGUUCAGAUGCAGUCGUCCUGUGUGUCAGAAAGCUGGUGAUCAAAAUGGUUGAAGGCAGUACCCAAGAAAGUACAUUUACAAAGUUGUGAGGAGUAACCUAGCCUAUAUAACCUGAAGCUCACCCAAUAUGCAGUGUGUUCUGCUCUGUCAAUAACAAAUGAGAUGCCAUACACAGGGGAUCCGACAGAAGACAGCAGACAAAAUUCGUCGAUGUAUUUGAAAUGUCAUUGUUUAUUUGAAAAAAAGAUACCUAUCCACA